rnacentral:snoRNA from 1 species
AAGCCAUGAUGUGGGCAUUGAGACCAAUAGCCCUUGAACCUCUCCCAUGCUUCACUAAAUCCCUCUAGGUUCUUCUGCUGAAAGGUAGAGAUCUCAUUCCUGAUCUU